rnacentral:rRNA from 1 species
UACAGGGGGGGCAAGCGUUGUUCGGAAUUACUGGGCGUAAAGGGCUCGUAGGCGGCCAACUAAGUCCGACGUGAAAUCCCAAAGCUUAACUUUGGAACUGCGUCGGAUACUGGAUGGCUUGAAUUCGGGAGAGGGAUGCAGAAUUCCAGGUGUAGCGGUGAAAUUCGUAGAUAUUCGCAAGAACACCAGUGGCGAAGGCGGCUCACUGGCCCGGUACUGACGCUGAGGUGCGAAAGCGUGGGGAGCAAACAGG